CGCGGGGUGGAGUAGCUCGUCGGGCUCAUAACCCGAAGGUCAUCAGUUCAAAUCUGGCCCCCGCAACCA
rnacentral:tRNA from 1 species